rnacentral:lncRNA from 1 species
AGACUCCAUGACUGAUGUGCAUCACCACCUGCAUUAGUGAGCUUGGUCCUUGCAUUUGGGGGUAGUUUCCUCUGAAUUAUAGCUGAAAUAUUUUCCCCCACACUUACCCUUUUAUUGCAGUUCAAUUUUUCUUGUUAGUGCACAGUUCCUUUAAAAACUUGACAUAUUUAGGUACCUGUUUAAUUGCAUUUAGUAAGGGAAUGUUUACAU